rnacentral:rRNA from 1 species
GGCUAAGUUGGUGACAGCGGCCGCGGUAAUAGUGAGGUGGCAGGUGUGGUUGGGAUGGACUUGGCGGACAGGGAGCGUAGGCGGUUGGAGACGCCCUCCGUGAAAUCUCCAGGCUGAACCUGGAAAGGGCAGAGGGGACUGUUCAGCUAGAGGAUGGGAGAGGAGCGCGGAAUGCCCGGUGUAGCGGUGAAAUGCGUAGAGAUCGGGAGGAAGGCCGGUGGCGAAGGCGGCGCUCUGGAACAUUUCUGACGCUGAGGCUCGAAAGCGUGGGGAGCAAACAGGAUUAGAUACCCGGGAGUC